CGAAUGGGCGAAAGCCUGACGCAGCAACGCGCGUGCGGAUGAAGGCCUUCGUGGUUGUAAACCGCUUUCAGCAGGGAACGAAAAUGACGGUACCUGCAGAAGAAGCUCCGGACUAACUACGUGCCAGCAGCCGCGGUAAUACGUAGGGGGCGAGCGUUGUCCGGAAUCAUUGGGCGUAAAGAGCUCGUAGGCGGUUCAGUAAGUCGGGUGUGAAAGCUCCGAGCUCAACUCGGAGAGGCCACCCGAUACUGCUGUGACUAGAAUCCAGUAGGGGAGUGUGGAACUCCUGGUGUAGCGGUGAAAAUGCGCAGAUAUCAGGAAGAACACCAGCGGCGAAGGCGGCACUCUGGGCUGGUAUUGACGCUGAGGAGCGAAAGUGUGGGUAGCAAACAGGAUUAGAUACCCUGGUAGUCCACACCGUAAACGUUGGGCACUAGGUGUGGGGAGGAUCAACCCUUUUCCGUGCCGUAGCUAACGCAUUAAGUGCCCCGCCUGGGGAGUACGGCCGCAAGGCUAAAAACUCAAAGGAAUUGACGGGG
rnacentral:rRNA from 1 species